rnacentral:lncRNA from 1 species
AAGCAGCCGUAGUGAUUUAGGCAAUGUCUCAUUAGGUCUGAUAAUGAAUCAUGGACUAGAGUCAUUGUAAGAGGACCUAAGACUUGGGCCCUCAUUGAUAUGAAAAUGACUUCUCACUUAAUGAAUCGAUAGGACUGAUAAUUAGUCAUUAAAAGGAGUUGUUAUCAAGAACUUGAUAUCUUGGAGUCUUUUUGUUGUGACAAAGGGUCCAUCCAAUGACUCAAACCAGCCCGGG